UACGUAGGUGGCAAGCGUUAUCCGGAUUUACUGGGUGUAAAGGGCGUGUAGGCGGGGAAGCAAGUCAGAUGUGAAAACCACGGGCUCAACCUGUGGCCUGCAUUUGAAACUGUUUUUCUUGAGUGCUGGAGAGGCAAUCGGAAUUCCGUGUGUAGCGGUGAAAUGCAUAGAUAUACGGAGGAACACCAGUGGCGAAGGCGGAUUGCUGGACAGUAACUGACGCUGAGGCUCGAAAGCGUGGGGAGCAAACAGG
rnacentral:rRNA from 1 species